GACAACGCUGGCGGCGUGCCUGACACAUGCAAGUCGGACGGUUCUUGUACCUUCAAGCUUGCUUGUUGGUGCAAGGAUAGUGGCGGACGGGUGAGUAACGCGUGAACAUCUACCCAUUGGAGGGGGACAACCCGUCGAAAGGCGGGCUAAUACCGCGUAAGCCGCGAGGUGAGAGGCUGCCUAUUGGUGGCCGCCGAUGGAUGGGUUCGCGUCCUAUCAGCUGGUUGGUGGGGUAACGGCCUACCAAGGCGAAGACGGGUAGCCGGUCUGAGAGGAUGGCCGGCCACACUGGAACUGAGACACGGUCCAGACUCCUACGGGAGGCAGCAGUGGGGAAUAUUGGGCAAUGGGGGAGACCCUGACCCAGCGACGCCGCGUGAGGGACGAAGGUUUUCGGAUUGUAAAGCUCUGUCGAGCGGAAAGAAAUGCACGAUGGCUAAUAUCCAUCAUGCUUGACGGUACCGCUAGAGGAAGCACCGGCUAACUCCGUG
rnacentral:rRNA from 1 species